rnacentral:rRNA from 1 species
GAGCUCUGUGCUUUCAAACCGUCUUCGGACACUCUCUGACAACUUGACCUCAAAUCGAGUAGGACUACCCGCUGAACUUAAGCAUAUCAAUAAGCGGAGGAAAAGAAACUAACAAGGAUUCCCCUAGUAACGGCGAGUGAAGAGGGAAGAGCUCAAAUUUUGAAUCUGGCGCCUUUGGCGUCCGAAUUGUAAUCUAGAGAAGUGUUUUCCGUGACGGACCGUGCACAAGUCUCCUGGAAUGGAGCGUCAUAGAGGGUGAGAAUCCCGUAUAUGGCACGGACUGCCGUUGCUCUGUGAUACACUCUCGACGAGUCGAGUUGUUUGGGAAUGCAGCUCUAAAUGGGUGGUAAAUGCCAUCUAAAGCUAAAUAUUGGCGAGAGACCGAUAGCGAACAAGUACCGUGAGGGAAAGAUGAAAAGCACUUUGGAAAGAGAGUGAAACAGUACGUGAAAUUGUUGAAAGGGAAACGCUUGAAGUCAGUCGCGCCGUUCGGGAUUCAGCCUUGCUUCUGCUUGGUUCACUUCCCGUUGGGUGGGUCAACAUCAGUUUUGGUCGGAGGAGAAAGGCUUGGGGAAGGUGGCAGCAUUCGUGCUGUGUUAUAGCCCCUUGUUGUAUACUUCGACUGGGACUGAGGACCGCAGCACGCCUUUGGCCGGGGUUCGCCCACGUACGUGCUUAGGAUGUUGGCAUAAUGGCUUUAAGCGACCCGUCUUGAAACACGGACC